rnacentral:rRNA from 1 species
UACGGGGGGAGUAAGCGUUGUUCGGAUUUACUGGGCGUAAAGGGCGCGUAGGCGGCCAGCACAAGUCAGUUGUGAAAUCUCCGAGCUUAACUCGGAACGGUCAACUGAUACUGUGCGGCUAGAGUGCAGAAGGGGCAACUGGAAUUCUUGGUGUAGCGGUGAAAUGCGUAGAUAUCAAGAGGAACACCUGCGGCGAAGGCGGGUUGCUGGGCUGACACUGACGCUGAGGCGCGAAAGCUAGGGGAGCGAACGGG